GGCGGUACUUCCGGUCUCCCACUUCCGGUCCCGUCGCUGCGGCUGCUCGGGGUGGCAGCGCCGUUCGGGCCCGUCCCGCUCCGUGCCCGCAUGCAGCGCCGCGAUGAGUCCAACGCCCGCAUGGGCCGCGGGCCGGGGGGACCCGGGGGAUCCCGCCAAGGGGGGCCCAACCCGCGGCGGUCUCCCCGGGGCGGGGGGGGCCGUGGGGCCCAGCAGCCGCAGCCGCUGCUGACCGGCGGAGGGGCGGCAGGCUCCUCUGGCUCGCAAGGCCCCGCCGCCGCCUCCCCCGCCCCGCUGCUGACAGGGGGAAACAACAAGAUGGAGCCCGAGAACAAAUACCUGCCCGAGCUGAUGGCCGAGAAGGACAGCCUGGACCCGUCCUUCACUCACGCCAUGCAGCUCCUCAGCGCAGAAAUUGAAAAAAUUCAGAAGGGUGAAACAACAAAGAAGGAUGAGGAAGAGAACUACCUGGAUUUAUUUUCUCACAAGAAUAUGAAACUGAAAGAACGAGUUCUGAUACCUGUCAAACAGUACCCCAAGUUCAACUUUGUUGGAAAGAUUUUGGGACCUCAAGGUAACACCAUCAAGAGGCUUCAGGAAGAAACUGGUGCUAAGAUCUCUGUGCUCGGGAAGGGUUCGAUGCGAGAUAAGGCAAAGGAGGAAGAGCUGCGUAAAGGGGGAGACCCUAAAUAUGCUCAUCUAAAUAUGGAUUUGCAUGUCUUCAUUGAAGUCUUUGGGCCCCCUUGUGAAGCAUAUGCUCUGAUGGCUCAUGCCAUGGAAGAAGUCAAGAAGUUCCUUGUCCCAGAUAUGAUGGAUGAUAUCUGUCAGGAGCAAUUCUUGGAGCUCUCCUACCUGAACGGUGUACCAGAGCCAACUCGUGGCCGAGGAGGCCCUGUGCGGGGAAGGGGAGCAGCUCCACCACCACCUCCACCUGUUCCAAGGUACCUUUCCCAAAAGCAUGGACCUGGAAAUGCUGCAUCUUGCUCAGAGUGGUGCUGCGAGAUCAGGGGGCGUGGUGUCGGUCCUCCCCCUCCGCCGCCUCCUCCCCGGGGGGCCAUGGUGCGAGGAGCCCCGGUGCGUGGUGCCAUUGCCCGGGGAGCAGCUGUAGCCCGUGGGGUGCCUCCCCCCCCAGCAGUCCGGGGUGCUCCUGCACCCAGAGCACGUGCAGCCGGCAUCCAGCGGAUACCACUUCCUCCUCCUCCCGCGCCAGAAACCUACGAGGAAUACGGUUAUGAUGAUGCAUAUGCAGACCAGAGCUAUGAGGGCUACGAAGGCUACUACAGCCAGGGCCAAGGGGACACAGAAUACUAUGAUUAUGGACACGGGGAGGCACAGGAAACCUAUGAAGCUUAUGGCCAAGAUGACUGGAAUGGUACCAGGCCCUCCCUGAAGGCCCCGCCAGCCCGGCCGGUGAAGGGCGCCUACAGAGAGCACCCAUACGGACGUUACUAAAAACAAAAUGAGGGAAAAAUAGCAGUUAUGAGCAAACAGUUGUUACUGAUUCUUGUAUCUCCCAGGAUUCCUGUUGCUUUGCCCACACCAGACAAGAGCGCAGAGCGGCUGGCGAUGGACCCAGGGGUGAAGGCGAGGAGGGGCAGCGCAGUGGGUGAGUCUGUCUGCUUCUUUGUGCCACUUACUGCAAGCUUUGAACACGUUCUGUGUGGGCAGAGGGGGCAGCACCAUCUGAGCUGUUACAUUGGAGCCGUUCUUUACGUACCCACAAAUAAAUGGGUGCUGGGAAGGGCAGCUCCAGCAGUGAUGCUGUGGUCAGGGUUAGAGCUGGUUGCUGGCUGAGAUGCUGGCUUUCAUGUGAGCACUCAUAGCUGCAAGGUAGCGCUGAAGUUGUUGCUACCUGGUGCUCUAGAAACAGGGCAGCCCAAGGAAAUAUAGAAAUGCAGAAUGAUGGAAUGGCUGGGUUGGAAGGUGCCUUACAGCCCAUGCAGUCCCAACCUCUGCCAUGGGCUGGCUGCCCCCCAGCUCAGGCUGCCCACGGCUGCUCUGUGGCCUCGAGCACCUCCAUGGAUGGAUGCCCACAGCUCUGGGCAGCACUGCUGGGGUCUCACUGCCCUUUAGGGAGAGAUUUUCAUCCUGGUCUCUCCGCUCAGCAGUGCUGGUGAUGGGGUUCCCUCUGGUGGCCGCUGUGGCUGCAGCAAUUCGUUCUGUAAGUGCCUUCAUAAAUGCAGCACGUGCUCGCAGGCCAUGCAGGGCUGUGCUUGGGGUGCUGAGCUGUGCUUGGGGUGCUGAGCUCCGGCAUCACGCUGCACUGACCCGUUCAUGCAGCAAGGACGUGUCUCCCCUGCGGCCCCAAAGGCAGCAGCCCCAAGUGUGUCCUCUGGGGACAGCUCUGUUGGCUUCUCUCAUAUCUUGAGAUCGCUGUAAGCCUGAGCUCCAGAAAUCAGAGAACAAAGAAAUCAGCCUUUGUGCUGCUGGAGAAGUGUAACGGCUUCAAAAGAGCGCUGUGCAAAGCGCUGGGAGCAGGAUGUAGAAGGGCGUAAGACUUAUUUUAUAUGGAAAUGCAGAGCUACCCAACGAGCUUCUCUUGAGAGCGUUAGGAACAAGAAAAUGGUUAUGUGUGGAAAUAGUGAGUGAGAUUACCCGCAAUUCUCUGCCUUUAACUUGAAAAUUGGAGCUGUAAUUCUGUUAGGGAAAGGCAUCGCUUCUGGAAUCCAGGGGACUGUUUGUGUGAUGCAUCUCCAUUACAACGCGACUGAAACGUCAGCUUAGAUGGGGCUGUUCCAAUCUUGGCCAUUUCUUUCUUAAUAGGCCCAACUUUUAUAUCGAGUGGGAAAGCUUUGAUAGAGAUCAUCUAUUACAAUGCAGUUUUUUAGCUGUAGGAGUGGAUCUUGUGGCACUGCCUUUGGGGUUGCACAGCUUGCUCGUUCAUCACAUUUAUUGCUUGUUUAUGUGAAGAUGUUGAAUGUUACGGGGCAGUGUAACUCUUACUAUAUUGCAAAUAACUGCAUAUGCUAAAAAUAUUCCAAAAGCACAGCCUGUAUCAAGGAGCUUCCUUCCUUCCUUGCCCCACAUCGCUGCUCUGAGGAGCCCAUGUGGGCAGGGGGCAGCUGGCACAGACCCCUGGGGGGGGGCAGCAGCUGUGGGUGUGUGCUGGGAGCUGAGCUGAGCAGGAGGUGCCGUUACAGAGCCCAGCCACGAGGGCUGUGAGUGCAGAUGGUGCUUGUGGGGAGUGCGGCACAGCUUGGGGAAAUGCUGCCGUCACUGGGAAACCUUCAGCACGUCGGGUGAGAUGUUGGACACGAGCCCUGCUGGUAAGAUUGGAGGGGGAAGGAUGUCUGCAGCCAUUCAGGCCGGUGGGGAUCUGCCAUCUCCAAUGUAGAUGUUAUUCCUCUUCUCAGGAAGCUCAGAUCCCAGGAGCGCAGAGCAGAACCCUUUGCUGUCGUUGCUCAGCGGAGCCAUAUGUUCCAAUAGAGAUGUUUGUUUCCACGCUCACUUUGCUCCUUUGGCUGCAUUGCAUUCAGAUGCUGAAGGAACGAGCUCCAGGAGCCCUUUACUGCGAGUUGGAAGAAGCCAAGUGCCAGCUCUGCUCCUCCAGCUGCCUCCAAACUGCAGAGGGGCAGCAUCAGAGCACAGCCUGCACAUGGAGCUGGAUAUGGAACCAAGCAAAGCUGUGCCUGCACUGUGCCACCACGAGCUGCUCCUGUGCAACACUUCUCUACUGCUGCUGCUGCAGGACGGGGUUCUGCCGCGUUUAGGAUGCUGCUGGGAUCCUAAAGCAAUGAGGAACAGAAGAUGCUCCUGUGCAGGGCUGUGAGCUUAGGAGAGGGCAGCAGGACUGUGAGCUGCUCCAUGGGAAGCACAGGAGGCAGAUGGAGGAUGUUAAUAUUGGGGUGGAUGUUGUUAGGGGCUGUACAGCAGAGCAGCCCCUGGGACUGUAACUGCUGGCGAUGUUAAUAAAGACCGAACACGGACCUUUUGGCCGCCAAACA